CUCUCUCUCUCUGCGACGGCCGGCCGGCCGGAUUGCUUUUGAUAACUCCCGCAGGAUUGCUUUGGAUAACUCCCGCAGGUGCACGAAGCGUGACUCUGGUAAAUUCCCGAAGAUUCUUAUAUACUUGUUGAGUGCUGGAACUUGAAGUUGAACUGUCAUCAUAUUCCCCUUUCACUGCAAUGGAUCCUAAUGGUUCUUUUGAUGAAAAGAGUGAAAGUAGAAUCUACAUUGGUAACCUUGAUCUGAGAAUAACGGAGUAAGUAAACCUUUGGAGUUGAAUCUUUGUUGCUCUAGUCUAGUACUAUGAGGUUAUGAUACUUCAUAUAGAUCCUGCUCUUGCAUUUUCCAGGGCUGCUCUAAUUAAGAUGUUUUCUCCGUUUGGGAAGAUUAUAACCGAGGACUUUCUGUGGCACACACGUGGCCGAAAGCGCGGAGAGCCACGGGGUUUUGCUUUCAUCUAGUAUAGCAGCAAAGAGUGAGCAUGCAGGAAGCAAGAUUGGCCAAGGAGAAGAUGCAUGGGAGACUAGCAUGUGGACGCCCGCUGGUUGUCCGCGUUUCCAGUGACAAGUACUUGGUAGAACCAGCAGAGAAUUCUUCCAAAGGAGUGGGCGAGGCCACCAAAACGAGCGCUUCUGGCACUAGUUCAGGACAGAUGAGCCGGAGCUCCAAAAUUACAGCAAUCAAGAACAAAUUGAAGGCUCUGGAGGAGGAGGGCUACAGCGCCAAGAAGCAGAAGCAAGAAGCCGACACAUCUUUGCAAUAAGAAUGUUGCUUCCAUCGAUAAAUCUGCUCAAUUCCAAGUUGUAAUCUUCCUACACUUGGCCCGGUUGAACAUAAUAGUGACAGUACAGUUGAUUCAGUUUGGGAUUUACAAAACUAUCCCAGCUUUUGGAGUUAUUUUACUGAUUCAGCGGGUAUUCUUUGCAGUGUUGGGGGGUAGCGGGAGCGUAUGGAAUGUCAUCAACACCGCGCCUGGUAUCUUUUUCCUUGCUCUAGUUCAAGUAACCCUCCAUCUUGCCAUGGUACUUGGAUUGGGAAGGCUACUUCGGUUAGUUCAAAUAAUCGUCCAAUGUCGGAGGGCCAACGACAGCAGCGGAAUGGCGAGGUCCAAAGGAUGGGAUUCGUUGGUUGUUCCUGCAAUCCUUGCGGGCAAUUUUGGAGUUGCCAUUGCAACACUUCUUGGCAGUGGUUUUGGAAUGAUAGUCCUCAGACACUUGCAGAAAAUUUGGUUUACAUAUUAUUACUGUGUCAUCUCGGCAUUAGGGCGAGCUUUGGCACCAUAAAAAGGUUACUCUUUUGUGAUUAAAAGGUUACAUAUUUGAAUCCUAGAAAUAACCUCUUUGCAAAGCAAAAAAUAAGAUUGUGUACUAUACUGUUUGGUACGUGGGACGGGACGGAAAAACUGUGGAACGGGUUGUCCCAUGGGACGAAAUUUGGUUGAUUUUUCGUUCCACCUCUUCUCCCUGGAACGACCUGUUCCACAUCUGUGGAACAC
rnacentral:sRNA from 1 species